rnacentral:rRNA from 1 species
CGUAGUGUGAAUUGCAGAUUCCGUGAACCAUCGAACUUUGAACGCAUAUUGCGCCCAAGACCUCGGUCGAGGGCAUGUCUGCCUCAGCGUCG